UCCUCGUUUAAGCGAGGCAGUCUGUCCAGAGUGCUCCCAACUCUCGUCGGGGUGGCAACAGGACACAAGGGUUGCGCUCGUUGCGGGACUUAACCCAACAUCUCACGACACGAGCUGACGACAGCCAUGCAGCACCUGUGCACGCUUCCCUUGCGGGAUCGUUACCCUUUCAGGCUCCUACCACGUGCAUGUCAAGGCCAGGUAAGGUUCUUCGCGUUGCAUCGAAUUAAGCCACAUACUCCACCGCUUGUGCAGGCCCCCGUCAAUUCCUUUGAGUUUUAGCCUUGCGGCCGUAGUCCCCAGGCGGAGUACUUAUCGCGUUAGCUACGUUACUGAAAGAUUUGACUCUUCCAACAACUAGUUGACAUAGUUUAGGGCGUGGACUAC
rnacentral:misc_RNA from 1 species